UACGAGGGGGGCAAGCGUUGUUCGGAAUUACUGGGCGUAAAGCGCGUGUAGGUGGUGGGACAAGUCUGCUGUGAAAGCGCCUGGCUUAACCGGGCGAGGUCGGCGGAAACUGUCCGACUAGAGGACGGUAGAGGGGGGUGGAAUUCCCGGUGUAGUGGUGAAAUGCGUAGAGAUCGGGAGGAACACCUGUGGCGAAGGCGGCCCCCUGGGCCGGCCCUGACACUGAGACGCGAAGGCGUGGGGAGCGAACGGG
rnacentral:rRNA from 1 species